GAACGAACGCUGGCGGCAGGCCUAACACAUGCAAGUCGAGCGCCCCCGUUCAGUCGGCUCAGCGAUUGAAGCUGAGUACUGAUGGGGAGCGGCGGACGGGUGAGUAACGCGUGGGAAUUUUCCUCAAGGUACGGAACAACUCAGGGAAACUUGGGCUAAUACCGUAUGAUGCAGAGAUGCCAAAGAUUUAUCGCCUUGGGAUAAGCCCGCGUCAGAUUAGGUAGUUGGUGGGGAAUGGCCUACCAAGCCUGCGAUCUGUAGCUGGUCUGAGAGGACGAUCAGCCACACUGGGACUGAGACACGGGCCCAGACUCCUACGGGAGGCAGCAGUGGGGAAUCUUGCGCAAUGGGCGAAAGCCUGACGCAG
rnacentral:rRNA from 1 species